AUUGAACGCUGGCGGCAGGCCUAACACAUGCAAGUCGAGCGGAUGAAGGGAGCUUGCUCCUGGAUUCAGCGGCGGACGGGUGAGUAAUGCCUAGGAAUCUGCCUGGUAGUGGGGGAUAACGUCCGGAAACGGGCGCUAAUACCGCAUACGUCCUGAGGGAGAAAGUGGGGGAUCUUCGGACCUCACGCUAUCAGAUGAGCCUAGGUCGGAUUAGCUAGUUGGUGGGGUAAAGGCCUACCAAGGCGACGAUCCGUAACUGGUCUGAGAGGAUGAUCAGUCACACUGGAACUGAGAAACGGUCCAGACUCCUACGGGAGGCAGCAGUGGGGAAUAUUGGACAAUGGGCGAAAGCCUGAUCCAGCCAUGCCGCGUGUGGGAAGAAGGUCUUCGGAUUGUAAAGCACUUUAAGUUGGGAGGAAGGGCAGUAAGUUAAUACCUUGCUGUUUUGACGUUACCAACAGAAUAAGCACCGGCUAACUUCGUG
rnacentral:rRNA from 1 species